GCCCGUGAAAACCCUAACGCCGCAUUUGCAGCAAAGUACGGGAUAGCAAUAAUCAGAGAUUGAGCGUUGCAAUCUCCGAUGCGUCUACGGUCAUGCUGUGUUUGAUCUCUUCUCAUUCACUAUUCGUUCUAUAAUUUGUUAGUUUAGAACUCAAUUAGGUUUAUCGCAUUCGAUAGGCGUUGCGUUCCUCGUUUGGAUUUAGAUCCAGAGGGACGCGUCAACGAAGGCGUAAAGAAAUCGUCAAUUCGAGCCGAUUCUAAUCGCAGCUACGCUGUUUGCAAGGUCGUAGCCUGCUCCUGCGCUGAAUUGGGCCAUUGUUUGUUGAUAAGAUCUUUUCACACUUCAUCAUCUAAUGUUCAUUUCCCCUGUUGCUUUGUGCAUUGUUUCUGGAUUUAUACUGUUAAUAGUGUCUUUAUGACCUGUUUGAAUUCAGAAUUUUGGUUUGGAAAGGGGAAGGAAUGGAAAGCAAUUUACGCUAUAUUUUUUUCUAUAUUAAAUACUACAAAAAAUAAAAAUUCAUUUUAAAAUAAUUAAAAAUUAAAUGUAAAUUAUUCAUAAAAUUAUAUUUAUAUUCAUUGAGUUUGUAUAUUUUUGUUAUUUUUUUGCUUUCUUGAUAAUGAAAAGGUCAAUUUUUAUUGCAUUUAUGUUGUAUUUCUUCACUGUUUGGAACCUCAUCCAACAUCAUUGUUUUUGAUUUUUUUAAUGGAGGUGGUGGAGGAUGGUUGCUUCUUACUGGUGAACUCUCUUGAAAAAUGUGGGGGAUGUUCAUGUUUCCGAAGCAUAGAUCAAUUGAGAUUAAUAUCUUUGCCAGUUUUAAACAGCGUGGUGUGUUGAAUCUCGUUGCACUCCGCUACCUGUCUCCUGCCCUUCUUCCCUCGAGCUAGUGAAGGGGAAUGCCAAGCUUCCCCAAAUCCACAUCAUGUGGAAUGCGUUAAGAUUGACAACUCGUCCUUGUGGAUCCAGCACCACCAGCAUGGGCUUCUUGUUGAAGUGCCACACUUCCUUGAUGUACCUAAUGACCGCAAGAUCGAUCAUCGAAGGGUGGUACACAGAAUGCCAUGGCAUUGUGCUUUGCAGGGUCUCAAAUAGGCGUUGCUUCUCUUCAUUCCAGCGUGUUGAUCGGUCGACUACUGGUAGCCACACUACCUCGUACUGGCUCUCUGCUCUCGUCGGAUGUAGUCGUGACUCACUGUACAUCUGCUCAAGAACUGAAAGCUCACCAUGGGAGAGGUCGAGGUCCGAAAUCAGUAGUAACACAUUCUUCCUCCUUAGCAUGUCAAUGUUUUCCUGCGGUGGUAGAAAUUGAAAGUGAGGAAUUCGUCUUAGUUUAGUAAGAACUACUAAAUCAGAGGAACACAUUCUUCCUCCUCAUUAUGACAAUGUUUUAUUAUGGAGAUUGGAAGAGAGGAGUUUGUUUCAGUUUAGUAAGAACUAUUAAAUCAGUAGUAACACAUUCUUCAUUAUUAGUAUGUCAA